rnacentral:lncRNA from 1 species
CCGCCCUCGGCACCUUGGCUGCUGACCACCUGGACGUCUUGCCCAACUGCCUGGAUGUACUUUAUAAAGUGCACUCUUUGCACUAAUAAAAGGUUAAUGGUAGGGUGCAAACAGUUCUACACGAGGGUUGACGACUCCUCAA